AGUAUGGAGCUGAGAAAUUCAGCUCGUCUUCGGUUCAUUUAUUUAAUAAACCGAUCACGAGCUGACCCACGAAUAAAUUAAAAAAAUUAAAAAAUAUAUAUAAAAAAUAAAUUUAUAAAAUGUCAUUCAUUAAACUUUGAUCUAAUUCUUACAACUUUACAAAUAAAUAAUUUUUUUUAUAAUUAAGUUAGGCUUUAUAUUUAGUUUGGACUAAAAAUCAAAUAAUAUAAAUCUAUAUUAUAUAAAUAUAAUUAUUUAUUUAUAUAUAUAAAUAUAAAAUAUAUGUAUUCGAGCUGUUAUUGAGUCGAAUACGAGCGAGCUGACCCCAAAUCAUGGUGUAAUAUAAAUAGUACAAGUUUUGUAUAAAUGGUAUAAUUUAAGUAUAAUUUUUUCUAUCUAUAGAAGAAGCUUAAUGUGCGACCAAAGAUUUAGUCAAGUUUUCUAUUAAUUUGGCUUAAUAAUUGUAAGAUAGCAAAAUAUAUUAUCAAACAUCCUUACCGAUGGUUAGGGAGGCAAACUGGGCAGAUCCGGGUGCGGGAGGGUUCUCUCACAUCUCGCUCCAUUUCUUAUCGGGACAGGGCGGGUUAUUUUUUAUUUUAUUUUUGGUUCUCACUUAUUGUCUUAUUAGGGGCGGAUUGGAGCGGAAGCAGAUUUUUGACGAAUUUUUGACGAAUCAGAAUGGAUUGAAGGAAGAAAAGGAUCUCCCGCUUUCUGCUUCAUUUACUUGGCAGAUCGGAACGAGUUAUAUUUUUCUAUUUUUUUUGUUCCUACUUACCGUCCUAUUCGGAACGGAUCGGGACAGGAGCUCCACCAACUUGGAUCCAUUUGCAUCCCU
rnacentral:lncRNA from 1 species